AGAGUUUGAUCCUGGCUCAGGAUGAACGCUAGCUACAGGCUUAACACAUGCAAGUCGAGGGGCAGCGGGAUUGAAGCUUGCUUCAAUUGCCGGCGACCGGCGCACGGGUGAGUAACGCGUAUCCAACCUUCCGUACACUCAGGGAUAGCCUUUCGAAAGAAAGAUUAAUACCUGAUGGUAUGAUGAGAUUGCAUGAUAGCAUCAUUAAAGAUUUAUCGGUGUACGAUGGGGAUGCGUUCCAUUAGGUAGUAGGCGGGGUAACGGCCCACCUAGCCAACGAUGGAUAGGGGUUCUGAGAGGAAGGUCCCCCACAUUGGAACUGAGACACGGUCCAAACUCCUACGGGAGGCAGCAGUGAGGAAUAUUGGUCAAUGGACGAGAGUCUGAACCAGCCAAGUAGCGUGAAGGAUGAAGGUCCUACGGAUUGUAAACUUCUUUUAUAAGGGAAUAAACCCUCCCACGUGUGGGAGCUUGUAUGUACCUUAUGAAUAAGCAUCGGCUAACUCCGUGCCAGCAGCCGCGGUAAUACGGAGGAUGCGAGCGUUAUCCGGAUUUAUUGGGUUUAAAGGGAGCGCAGACGGGUCGUUAAGUCAGCUGUGAAAGUUUGGGGCUCAACCUUAAAAUUGCAGUUGAUACUGGCGUCCUUGAGUGCGGUUGAGGUGUGCGGAAUUCGUGGUGUAGCGGUGAAAUGCUUAGAUAUCACGAAGAACUCCGAUUGCGAAGGCAGCCUGCUAAGCUGCAACUGACAUUGAGGCUCGAAAGUGUGGGUAUCAAACAGGAUUAGAUACCCUGGUAGUCCACACGGUAAACGAUGGAUACUCGCUGUUGGCGAUAUACUGUCAGCGGCUUAGCGAAAGCGUUAAGUAUCCCACCUGGGGAGUACGCCGGCAACGGUGAAACU
rnacentral:rRNA from 1 species